rnacentral:sRNA from 1 species
AAUAUAAAAUGGUGGUGCAGUAUCCUAGUCGGUGAUGAUAUUUCCUAAGACGGGCCUAAAAAUCCGUUAAAGGGCACAUCGAUGAAACUUCUUGUGUAGGCUUCUGACGCCCAGUCGGGGGUUUAUGCUGGGAGGAAGAGUGCCGGGCAGCCGGCAACGGCAUGUCGGUCAUGACCCUUCACUCGUGGAGACCUGAACGGGUGGUUGCAUUCCCUCUGCGCUAUUACAACCUGCGUUGUAGAGGAAAAGUUCCACUCCUCGGGAUUAAACCUGUAUUGCGGGAUUUACUGUGUACAGAGUAGCCUGCCUUGAGUGGUACCGGUGAAUAGCGGAACACUCGCUCCUUUGCACGGCCAUGCGGAGGGCGAGAUUGCCGUUUGAAACCCGUAUUGCAAAAGAGGCUAAGAGGUAUCUGAGCUGUCGGAGAAAUUUCCUAGGCUGUGACUUUAUAGUCGGCACAUCAGGGAUUACAGUGUGGUCUCAGUGGCGAUCAGGGGACUCAAAACCUUGAGUCUGCGGACUUAAUGGGAAACCGCUUCUACUUUCCGGCGACGGGGAGCGUCUGCAGGAGAAAUUCAUCCUGACCUUAAGCCAUAAAGUUUACUUGAUGUGCUGCCACCUUUCGG